UGAGUAACCUGCCCUUAACUCUGGGACAAGCCCUGGGGAAACUGGGUCUAAUACCGGAUAUGACUCCUCAUCGCAUGGUGGGGGGUGGAAAGCUUUAUUGUGGUUUUGGAUGGACUCGCGGCCUAUCAGCUUGUUGGUGAGGUAAUGGCUCACCAAGGCGACGUCGGGUAGCCGGCCUGAGAGGGUGACCGGCCACACUGGGACUGAGACACGGUCCAGACUCCUACGGGAGGCAG
rnacentral:rRNA from 1 species